rnacentral:misc_RNA from 1 species
CACAGCUUGAGAUUUUCUAUAAAUUAGCUUCUCUCUUCCUUCUCAUAAUACUCAGGCAGUAUUCCUUGCUUAAGAGAGAAAAUGGAAGCAGGUCCACUUUUAGUCUAUGUGCUUAUAGCUACUCUCAUUCUUCAGUUCUCUACCCACAUAAAUUCUAGCUCAGCCACUAGACCCGUACCUAGCAACACAAAUACCCAAUACAUCAGAACAUCAUGUAGCAACACGACCUAUCCAAGAUUGUGCUACCGGUCCCUCUCAAUCUAUGCAAGCGAAAUCAAGACCGACCCCAAAUUACUAGCCAACGCUGCUCUUAACGUUACCCUUAAAGCCACCGAAUCAACAUCAAGAUUGAUGAAGAAUAUGUCAAGAAUCCAUGGAUUGAAGCUUAGAGAGACUGUAGCUAUAAUAGAUUGUGUGGAGGUAGUUGGUGACUCAGUGUAUGAGCUGCAAAGGUCUAUUGGGGAGAUGGGUCAUGCUGGAGAAUCAAAUUUUUAUCAAGUAAUGGCUAAUAUACAAACUUGGGUUAGUGCAGCCUUAACAGAUGAUGAUACCUGUAUGGAUGGAUUUGCUGGAGAGUCCAUGAAUGGAUAUGUGAAGACUGUUGCUAGGAGACACCUAGUGAAAAUUGCUCAUCUGACUAGUAAUGCCUUGGCUCUUAUCAAUAACUAUGCUUCUUCUCAUACCAACUUAAAAUAAUGUCGAAGUCCUUGUAUUGUAUGUCUCCUUCUCGUUGUUUGUUGAGUUUCUGGGGAACCCACUUCUCAGGAGAGCUCAAGUAAGAGAAAUUUUAGCCUUAAUUAUUUUGGGUCAUCCUUUCCUGCAAUUAUUGAUGAGACUCUUCUUCUAGUUUCAAUACUUGGCGAGUAUGGUUUGGUACCCCCACAUAUCAGUUGGUUCAGUUGUCCCUCAAGUCAAUGGAAUUGAAAGUGAGGCUAAGGAAUGGGCAAUUGCUUGAGUUUUCUUUGGGUUGAUUUUUAAGUAAAACUGUAAAUUUUUCUGUCAUGUUUUAUGCUGUGCAAAAUAUACUUUAUGUGCAUCUGUAACCAUAUGAAAAUUACUUUACCAUGAAAAACAAAAUUCCUAUGUAUUUGUUUGUUGUUCUUCUCUUUUCCCUCUGGAGUAUUCUCUGUCCCUCUCCAGUCUCCAGUCCAUAAU